UGGGGAAUAUUGGGCAAUGGGCGAAAGCCUGACCCAGCAACGCCGCGUGAGGGAAGAAGGCCUUCGGGUUGUAAACCUCUGUCCUUGGUGACGAAAAAAAUGACGGUAGCCAAGGAGGAAGCCCCGGCUAACUACGUGCCAGCAGCCGCGGUAAUACGUAGGGGGCGAGCGUUGUCCGGAAUUACUGGGCGUAAAGGGUGCGUAGGUGGCCUUUUAAGUUGGAUGUGAAAUCCCCGGGCUUAACUUGGGUGGUGCAUCUAAUACUGGAGGGCUAGAGUGCAGGAGAGGGAAGCGGAAUUCCUAGUGUAGCGGUGAAAUGCGUAGAUAUUAGGAGGAACACCAGUGGCGAAGGCGGCUUUCUGGACUGUAACUGACACUGAGGCACGAAAGCGUGGGGAGCAAACAG
rnacentral:rRNA from 1 species